AGUUAGUGGCGGACGGGUGAGUAACGCGUGGAUAACCUGCCGUAUACCGGGGGAUAACACUUAGAAAUAGGUGCUAAUACCGCAUAAGCGCACGGCUCCGCAUGGGGCAGUGUGAAAAACUCCGGUGGUAUACGAUGGAUCCGCGUCUGAUUAGCUAGUUGGCGGGGUAACGGCCCACCAAGGCAGCGAUCAGUAGCCGGCCUGAGAGGGUGGACGGCCACAUUGGGACUGAGACACGGCCCAAACCCCUACGGAAGGCAGCAG
rnacentral:rRNA from 1 species